CAGCAGUCGCCGCGGUAAUACGGAGGGUGCAAGCGUUAAUCGGAAUUACUGGGCGUAAAGCGCACGCAGGCGGUCUGACAAGUCAGAUGUGAAAUCCCCGGGCUUAACCUGGGAACUGCAUUUGAAACUGUCAGGCUGGAGUCUUGUAGAGGGGGGUGGAAUUCCAGGUGUAGCGGUGAAAUGCGUAGAGAUCUGGAGGAAUACCGGUGGCGAAGGCGGCCCCCUGGACAAAGACUGACGCUCAGGUGCGAAAGCGUGGGGAGCAAACAGGAUUAGAUACCCCUGUAGUCCCUGUCUCUUAUAA
rnacentral:rRNA from 1 species